UGCCGCGUGAAGGAUGACGGCCCUCUGGGUUGUAAACUUCUUUUAUCUGGGACGAAAAAAGGUCAUUCUUGAUCACUUGACGGUACCAGAGGAAUAAGCACCGGCUAACUCCGUGCCAGCAGCCGCGGUAAUACGGAGGGUGCAAGCGUUAUCCGGAUUUACUGGGUUUAAAGGGUGCGUAGGUGGGUCUGUAAGUCAGUGGUGAAAUCUCCGAGCUUAACUCGGAAACUGCCAUUGAUACUAUAGGUCUUGAAUUAUCUGGAGGUGAGCGGAAUAUGUCAUGUAGCGGUGAAAUGCUUAGAUAUGACAUAGAACACCAAUUGCGAAGGCAGCUCACUACGGAUCGAUUGACACUGAGGCACGAAAGCGUGGGGAUCAAACAGGAUUAGAUACCCUGGUAGUCCACGCCCUAAACGAUGGAUACUCGACAUACGCGAUAUACAGUGUGUGUCUGAGCGAAAGCAUUAAGUAUCC
rnacentral:rRNA from 1 species